GCUUCUGUAGCUCAGCGGUAGAGCACUCCCUUGGUAAGGGAGAGGUCAUCGGUUCAAGUCCGAUCAGAAGCU
rnacentral:tRNA from 1 species